rnacentral:rRNA from 1 species
UAAUACGUACCGGACAAACGUUAUUCGGAAUUACUGGGCUUAAAGAGUGCGUAGGCGGCCUAGCAGGUGGGGUGUGAAAGCCCACGGCCCAACCGUGGAAUUGCGCUUCAAACCGCUAGGCUGGAGGGAGACAGGGGUGAGCGGAACUGAUGGUGGAGCGGUGAAAUGCGUUGAUAUCAUCAGGAACACCCGUGGCGAAGGCGGCUCACUGGGUCUCUUCUGACGCUGAGGCACGAAAGCUAGGGUAGCGAACGGGAUUAGAUACCCCGGUAGUCCUAGCUGUAAACGAUGAGCACUAGAUCGUGGGGGCUUCCACACCCUCUCGGUCGUAGCGAAAGUGUUAAGUGCUCCGCCUGGGGAGUAUGGUCGCAAGGCUG